rnacentral:rRNA from 1 species
CCUACGUGUGGCAGCAGUGGGGAAUAUUGCACAAUGGGGGCAACCCUGAUGCAGCGACGCCGCGUGAGUGAAGAAGGAUUUCGGUAUGUAAAGCUCUAUCAGCAGGGAAGAAAAUGACAGUGCCUGAUUAAGAAGCCCCGGCUAACUACGUGCCAGCGGCCGCGGUAAUACGUAGGGGUCACACGUUGUCCGGAUUUACUGGGUGUAAAGGGGGCGUAGACGGCAGCACAAGUCUGGAGUGAAAUGCCGGGGCUUAACCCCGGAACUGCUUUGGAAACUGUGCAGCUCGAGUGCAGGAGAGGUAAGUGGAAUUCCUAGUGUAGCGGUGAAAUGCGUAGAUAUUAGGAGGAAAACCAGUGGCGAAGGCGGAUUACUGGACUGUAACUGACGUUGAGGCUCGAAAGCGUGGGGAGCAAACAGGAUUAGAUACCCGUGUAGUC